rnacentral:lncRNA from 11 species
UUGGUAAAAUCCAGUGUGACUAAGAGGGAAGACAAUUUCUUAUCCCACUGCAGCCCCCUCUAUGUUGUGGAAAAACCGUUUUGGAAGCCUUAGGAAGACCCCAAAGAGGAAAGAGAGCUCACCUGAAACACUAUGUACAGUUUUGGGCACCUGAAUUCAAGAAAGAGAUCAACAAGGUAGAAAGUGUACAGAGAAGGCUCGCCAAAAUGGUACAAGGUCUUGAAACAAAACCCUAAGCAGGAAGACUAAAUAAGCUGGGUAUAUUUAGAAGGAAGAAGAGAAGACUGAGAUGUGGUAUGGUAGCCAUCUCUAAGUAUCCAAAUGGAUAUCAGGUAGGAUAUCAGGUAAGCAAGCAAGUUUUCUACUGUUCCAGAGACAAGAACAUGAACUAAUGGGUACAAGUUACACCAAAAGAGAUUCAACCUAAACAUUAAAAGAACUUCUUGGUAACAAGAACUGGUGCAGAAUGCAGUGGAUUGUCCAUCUUUAAGAUCUUUAAGAAGAAGUUGGAUGGGUAUCCCUCAGGAUUGUUUUAGCUGUCAAUUCCUGAAUAACAGAAUAAGCCUAAGCCUGAAUAACAAGAUUACUCUUAAGCAACUAUUCACUUAAUUAUCUUCCACCUUUUCUCAUCUGUUGUAAUAACAUAGGACAAAAAUGGGUAAAAUAAGUGCCCCCC